rnacentral:rRNA from 1 species
CCAUUCUCAGUUCGGAUUGUAGGCUGAAACUCGCCUACAUGAAGCUGGAGUUACUAGUAAUCGCAGAUCAGAAUGCUGCGGUGAAUGCGUUCCCGGGUCUUGUACACACCGCCCGUCACACCACGGAAGUUGGGGGCGCCCGAAGCCACUUAGCUAACCCAUUUGGGAAGCGAGUGUCGAAGGUGAAAUCAAUAACUGGGGUGAAGUCGUAACAAGGUACC